GGAUAGUUUUAGUACGUAGACGCCAGAGAUGGCGUAUUGGGCAUGCUACUGGGCUACAGUAGUAUCUUUGGAAGAUUUCCAUCUC
rfam:Glossina morsitans morsitans, isolate Yale, WGS project CCAG01000000 data, contig: ctg10000110